CAUGCAUAUAAGUGAGCGCUUGAUCAGAUUUACAUCUAUCUGAGUUUAGAACUUGAUACCUGAGCAUGGGUUGAUAAUCACUGCUAUUGAGAGAUAUGGUAAAGAUGAUCUUCGUUGGUUGCUCGCAGCCGCACAUAUAUCCGACCUCUACGAAAAGUUCACUUGAAGCUCCGAUCUGAUCGAUCUCCUCGGGAGUGCUAGCUCGUGUGAAGAUUAUCUUGUUGGCUGAUCUAGAUCCUUUCUUCAAAUCUCUCGAAUUUUUUCAAAGAUUGAAAAAGGACAUCUGGAGGAAAAGGAGAUGAUGAAGAAGUAUGGAGAAGAAAUAAUUUUCCUGCUUAUUUUUCUCUCUUCCAAACCCUAGGUCCAGACCCUAGGAUUUCUAGAUUUUGUGCUUACCCAAGAGGAGAGGACUCUCCUCUAAUUUUUUCAUGCCAAGGAACCAUGCCAAAAGCCUUCACCGUGAAGACCUCUUUCUCCUCUCUUUUACAUGCACAAAAGAUAGUAAAACCCCUUUUAUUUUGGCAUGUAAAGAGGUUAGGGUGAAGAGUCCAACAAUGUUUGGACUCUUCCAAAUGUUGUUGCCUCCUCUCAUAAUUCCACUAUCC
rnacentral:lncRNA from 1 species